rnacentral:rRNA from 1 species
UUAACUGAAGAGUUUGAUCAUGGCUCAGAUUGAACGCUGGCGGCAGGCCUAACACAUGCAAGUCGAGCGGUAGCACAGAGAGCUUGCUCUCGGGUGACGAGCGGCGGACGGGUGAGUAAUGUCUGGGAAACUGCCUGAUGGAGGGGGAUAACUACUGGAAACGGUAGCUAAUACCGCAUAAUGUCGCAAGACCAAAGUGGGGGACCUUCGGGCCUCAUGCCAUCAGAUGUGCCCAGAUGGGAUUAGCUAGUAGGUGGGGUAACGGCUCACCUAGGCGACGAUCCCUAGCUGGUCUGAGAGGAUGACCAGCCACACUGGAACUGAGACACGGUCCAGACUCCUACGGGAGGCAGCAGUGGGGAAUAUUGCACAAUGGGCGCAAGCCUGAUGCAGCCAUGCCGCGUGUGUGAAGAAGGCCUUCGGGUUGUAAAGCACUUUCAGCGGGGAGGAAGGCGGUGAGGUUAAUAACCUCAUCGAUUGACGUUACCCGCAGAAGAAGCACCGGCUAACUCCGUGCCAGCAGCCGCGGUAAUACGGAGGGUGCAAGCGUUAAUCGGAAUUACUGGGCGUAAAGCGCACGCAGGCGGUCUGUCAAGUCGGAUGUGAAAUCCCCGGGCUCAACCUGGGAACUGCAUUCGAAACUGGCAGGCUAGAGUCUUGUAGAGGGGGGUAGAAUUCCAGGUGUAGCGGUGAAAUGCGUAGAGAUCUGGAGGAAUACCGGUGGCGAAGGCGGCCCCCUGGACAAAGACUGACGCUCAGGUGCGAAAGCGUGGGGAGCAAACAGGAUUAGAUACCCUGGUAGUCCACGCCGUAAACGAUGUCGAUUUGGAGGUUGUGCCCUUGAGGCGUGGCUUCCGGAGCUAACGCGUUAAAUCGACCGCCUGGGGAGUACGGCCGCAAGGUUAAAACUCAAAUGAAUUGACGGGGGCCCGCACAAGCGGUGGAGCAUGUGGUUUAAUUCGAUGCAACGCGAAGAACCUUACCUGG